rnacentral:rRNA from 1 species
UACAGAGGUCUCAAGCGUUGUUCGGAAUCACUGGGCGUAAAGGGUGCGUAGGUGGCGUGGUAAGUCAGAUGUGAAAGCCCGGGGCUCAACCUCGGAAUUGCAUCCGAUACUGCCGUGCUAGAGUACUGAAGAGGAGAUUGGAAUUUACGGUGUAGCAGUGAAAUGCGUAGAUAUCGUAAGGAAGACCAGUGGCGAAGGCGGAUCUCUGGACAGCUACUGACACUGAGGCACGAAGGCCAGGGGAGCAAACGGG